CGAUAAAAAAUACAAAAACAAUACAUCACAGAAACCGAUGAUGUCUUCAAACAGCAUUGAGCGCAUCCCGCUUUAUUAGAGUCUCUUCCUGAAGGGCGGAAUGGUUUAGGAAGUAAGAGUAGAGAGAAAGCCUAUCGGGUGUAGUCUUGGAUUGAAAGAUGGAAACAAUUGUAUCCGCGGUUGUUCGGGCGCACAGUUCUUGGGAGCGCAAAGUAAUCAAGCCAUAGAGGUUGAGCACGUAAUUCUGUCGUAACUACAGCUGAACAAGGAUUUUACUACAGGCUUCUGUCACGACUUGAUGAGGGGUUGCUAACGGACGCGAGGUCACGGAGAGGCAAUAUAUCCCUGGUGGUAUGGUGUUUAUUUCGAGUGUGGUGGGGGUUCUUCAGAGCUGCCGAACCCUCCUGGAUACGAGCCUGCCGAGGUACUGACAAACUGGCUUCUUAAAUGAAAAAAGAAUUUGCGGUAAAGGGAAAAAAUAAAACAAGUGCUUUUAAUAUCAAAGCAACAGGAGGGCCUGAUAUAUUGUUAUAUCUUGUUCUACUUUAUUUUUCACUAAAUGCAUCCUGCUAUGGAGAUGUUUAGGCUUUGGAAAAAAGUUGAGCUUGAAAGUACACAUUAAUCACAGUGUCGAUCAGUAUGGUUUUCAAUUUCUGCUCUUGACAGGUAUAAGAGAGACUAGGGAGGGGGAGUUCUUGCAUACCCACCCCUCCAGCCCGAGUACCUGCCUCAAUACACUUCUAUCUAUAUUUCUAGCUAUAUUUCAAAAACUCUUAAAAUAAAAUGUAUAAUGAUAGCUCUUGACAGCUCUAGACAGGAAUAAAUGCUAGUCAAUAACUUACAGUAUUAUUUUAAGAACUUGUUGCUUAGUACUCGUGUGGAAGGUUUAGAAAUUGACCUUUUAGGGCCACCUACUUUCUCACCUUUUUUCCUCUUUAAGAUAUGAUAUAAGGGAAUUUGUUAUUAGGGCCAAAUAUGUAAUAAGAUCAUGCCACAUUUAUAAUAACACAUCUCAAACUAAAUCGGAAUGGAAGCUAAGACAAAAACAACGCCUUUUCAAGUCGCACUUUCUUUUUAGGUUGCAUUUCCAUUUUUUCUUUCAUGUUGACAUCCAUCUUUUUCCUUACAUCUGUACAACCUUUAGUUAUUAGUCAAUAGAUAAAGUUAUUACAUAACAUCAUAACAUCGACAAAAGGGCAUGGACAUAGAAAAAAAAACAUUUCUCUAUGCUGUUAUGUCAUCGUUGCUGCACCUGCGUGCACCACGCUUUAUUUCGUUAUUCUGUUAUGUCUAUAUGCUGUUAUGUCGUUAUGUCGAUAUGCUGUUAUGUCGUUAUGUCGAUAUGCUGUUAUGUCAUCGUUUACUGCAUCUGUGUCACACCACGCUUUAUUUCGUUAUGCUGUUAUGUCGAUAUGCUGUUAUGUCGUUAUGUUGUGAUGUCAUCGCUGCACCUGCGUGUACUACGCUUUAUUUCGCUAUGUUGUUAUGUCGAUAUGCUGUUAGGUCGAUAUUCUGUUAUGCCGUUAUGCUGUUAUGUCAUUGUUGCUGCACCUGUGUGCACCGCGCUUUAUUUAGUUGUGUUGUUAUGUCGAUAUGCCUUUAUGUCGUUAUGUCGCCCGACAAACAAAUGGGAUAAAAAUUAGGUAUCUUUUGUAAACAUUAAUUCGUAGAGAGCAGGUGUCCCUAUCUGUACCAGCAGAGCUAUCUUUACGCCUGUUUUCGGUAGGUGUUGAGGAGGAGGGAGAGGAAGGGGGGAGUUCUUGCAUACCCACCCCUCCAGCCCGAGUACCUGCCUCAAUACACUUCUAUCUAUAUUUCUAGCUAUAUUUCAAAAACUCUUAAAAUAAAAUGUCCUCAUUUUAGUAUCUUGUCUUUCUCAUCUAGCAGUGAUAAUAUAUAGUUCACCUCCUACGCUCAUAGGAUACUUUCUAAAGAGUCCUUUUUUGCAUACUAGCCAGUACGUGGCUAAGGGCGGAAUCGCCUCUCUCUAUUGAUCUACAAUCGGAAAAGUGUUCUAAUUUUGCAUAUGGACGUAAUCUAUUGAUCUUCGCCGUAGUUCCGGUGAUCCAGGCCUUGUGUGCCCAAUAGGCGCGAAGAGGACAGGCAACAGCAGUUCCGGCGAUCAGAAAAGAUGGAUCUAUUUGGUUGUAGCGCGGUGUCCUUCAGGGGUGGAUGGUUAAUCUGUUGAUAUUUGCUGCUCAAUAACUCCUCAUACAAACACCAAGUUUUUCAAAACGCUAUGAAGACAUAGACAGAAGAAUCGCCUCUCCAUACUGAUCUAAAAUCAGGAAAGUGUUCUAGCUUUGCAUAUGGACGUAAUCUAUUGAUCUUCGCCGUAGUUCCGGUGAUCGAGACAUUGUGUGCCUCAUAGACGUGAAGUGGACAAGUAACAGCAGUUCCGGCGAUCAGAAAUGAUAGAUCUAUUUGGUUGUAGCGCGGUGUCCUUCAGGGGCGGAUUGUUAAAGUAGGGUGAUAGAAUUCUUCCGACGGACGCUGUUUGAGUUUACCGACAGAAUAGAAGCUGAGCCCACUAUUAUGAAUAUCAAUAUCAAUCAAUAUAUCUACAGUAGACCCUUUCAUCCUUACGAUAACAACCAUGGAACCUUUUUAUUCAUCGCGUUCUCAUUAUAAAAUCUAGAACCUGUUUGUAAAAAAUAAUUCGAUUUCCGAGGCACGUCGUAAAAUACAGGCGUUACUGUACACAAAAUUGGUCUCGUGUUUUCUUAAAACAUGGAAAUAAAGUUAACUAGAACAGAAUACGAGAAACACUGUGUAAACUAUGUAUCUCUUUUAAUUAAGAAAUCUAUUAAAAGAAAUUAUUUGGUGGCAGCGAACAAUA